UACAGAGGGUGCGAGCGUUGUCCGGAAUCACUGGGCGUAAAGGGCGCGUAGGUGGCCUGGUAAGUAGGGGGUGAAAUCUCGCGGCUCAACCGCGAGGCUGCCUCCUAAACUGUCGGGCUCGAGCAGAGUAGAGGCAGGUGGAAUUCCCGGUGUAGCGGUGGAAUGCGUAGAGAUCGGGAAGAACAUCGGUGGCGAAGGCGGCCUGCUGGGCUCUUGCUGACACUGAGGCGCGACAGCGUGGGGAGCAAACAGG
rnacentral:rRNA from 1 species